CGUUCUUCCUGAAAACGCUGAGAAAGAACUCGAAGAAACUGAGACAGGAUUCAUAGACUCUGCAGAUGUAGAAGCACGCAAGCAGGCUCAACGAGACGCUGAAAGAGAGAAGGAGUUGAAAUUGCGGCACACUCCUGUUCAGAGGAGUCUCCCCAGACCUACUGAGGUAAACGAGUCUGUUCUCCGUCCCGCCUCCAUGGAGCCACUCUCUGACCUCCAGCAGGCCGAAGAGCUCAUCAAACAGGAAAUGAUCACCAUGCUGCAUUUUGACUGCUUGCAUCACCCUUCAGCCAAUGCUGCCAAUCAGCUGCAGCGCGGCAAAAUCCGAAGCCCCACGUCUACGUCUAACAACGCGUCACAUAUUGCUUACCUGGAAAAAAACCUCCUACAAGCCAAUUAGCACAGAGGAGAUGGAACAGGCAAAGUUAGUCCUGGCAGCAGAAAUGGAGGUGGUGAAGGGAGGUAUGGGUCACGGUGACCUCAGCAUGGAGGCUUACAGCCAGGUGUGGGAGGAAUGCUACGGACAGGUGAGCACCCAUGGACCAAAAAUGAGAAGUCAGAGAAGCAUAAACAGGUGUAGAGAUUUGUUACCACCUUUUGGUCAGUAUAUUUGUCAUAUUUCUAAAUUAGAAGCUUCUAGUGUGUAGAAAUACACAUGGAUGGAGUGUAGUGCAGUGCAGUCUAACCCAACUAGUUAUUACACACCCAGUCUGCCUUUGAUGGCACACAGCUGAGGUGUUGACUCUCGAUCAUUCUCCCCGAAGCUUAAGUGUUUUGAAGUGAGUUUCCUGAGGUGUGCAAGUUCACUGUGAUCUAAAACACUAGUCUGGGCCUUGUGUGAUUCUGU